UAUUCAUCCCAUGCGGGAAGGAUGAGAAGCUUCGACUAAGGUUCGAUUCGAGCGAAGCGAGAAAGCGUUGCCGCAGGCAACGACCCGAAGGGCGAGGCGCAACGCGCCGAGUAAUCCUUCCCCCCACCCUC
rnacentral:sRNA from 3 species